AUGUCUGACGUCCUUGAAGGUGUCUGCAAAGAAAAGGAGAAUGAAGACUUGCAAGUUAAUUGCCCAAUACCUACAGAAGAUGAGCAGGCAGACUGUUUUUCAGCCCAGCAACUCAGUAUGAGUACCAGUCGUCCAUGCGCACCUGAGCUUCCUGUAUUAAGCACAACUCAGCAAGAAAAGGAUACAAUAGAUGAUUCCAUCGAUCAGAAGGAUGUUAUCAAUACUGCAAAGCCAUCGAGAGCAAAUACAACUUUACCAUGUAAUAAUAACGUAAAUGUAACCACAGCUGUGCCCCUACAGGAACCCCAAAAGUUAAGUUAUGCUGAAGUAUGCCAGAAGCCCCCUAAAGAGCCAUCUCCGGUUCUUGUGCAGCCACUACGAGAACUUCGCUCCAAUGCAGUGUCUCCCACCAAAAACCAAGAGAACGGAGCUCCUGAGAAGUCUGUUGAGGAACCACAUGAGAAGCCAGAAGCAAAGGCUAGUAAAGAUUAUUCUGGCUUCCGAGGCAAUACCACUCCCAGGGGAGCAGCUGGAAAAAUCAGGGAACAGAGACGCCAGUUUAGCCAUAGGGCUAUACCUCAGGGAGUGACUCGACGUAAUGGCAAAGAACAGUAUGUACCACCCAGAUCACCAAAGUAAAAACAAACAAAAAACAACUCAGUUUAUUGCCUUCCUUCAGUCCCCUUUCCAAAAAUGUUUGAAAUUCACUGACUCAGAUAAAGCAAGUCAAAGAGAGUUUUGAGAUAAUGUGGAAACGAUUGAAGGAAACUAAUACAUAAUUUCUCAAUGAAUAAAAUUGUAACUGUCGUAUUAAAUAGGCAAGUUUACAUGCUGGUAUUUAGAAAAUUACUAACAUAUUAAAAAUCAUGUUGCAUUAAUCUAUUUUAAGUCAUACCAUGUUCAGAGUUCUGUGUAGGGUGUGGUUUUUUUUCUUUUUAGGGAUAGUUUGUAUAGUAACUGUCUCUUAUGUUAGUGACUUACAUGUGUACAAAUUGAAACUGUAAAUUGUGAACACUGGAAAGCAUCGUGACAUAGAAUAUAAACAUCUUAGUAAUAUAUUAAAAUGAAUGUAAAGGAGGUUAAAAUUACAUUACUGUGAAACUU
rnacentral:lncRNA from 1 species